rnacentral:rRNA from 1 species
AUUGAACGCUGGCGGCAUGCCUUACACAUGCAAGUCGAACGGCAGCACGGGGCAACCUGGUGGCGAGUGGCGAACGGGUGAGUAAUGCAUCGGAACGUACCUUUCAGUGGGGGAUAACGUAGCGAAAGUUACGCUAAUACCGCAUAUUCUGUGAGCAGGAAAGCAGGGGAUCGCAAGACCUUGCGCUGAUUGAGCGGCCGAUGUCAGAUUAGCUAGUUGGUGAGGUAAAGGCUCACCAAGGCGACGAUCUGUAGCGGGUCUGAGAGGAUGAUCCGCCACACUGGAACUGAGACACGGUCCAGACUCCUACGGGAGGCAGCAGUGGGGAAUUUUGGACAAAGGGGGCAACCCUGAUCCAGCCAUGCCGCGUGAGUGAAGAAGGCCUUCGGGUUGUAAAGCUCUUUCGGCCGGGAAAAAAUCGCAUGGGUUAAUACCCUGUGUGGAUGAUGGUACCGGAAUAAGAAGCACCGGCUAACUACGUGCCAGCCGCCGCCGUAAUAC